rnacentral:sRNA from 1 species
GGGCACGAGGGCCAUCGGGCUGCGACCUCUGUCACCCCAUGCAUCGCCAGGGCUGAUCCCAGCUGAUCUGGCUGGCCAGGCGGGUGUCCCCUUCCUCCCGCCCUGCUCCAUGCCUGUCCCUCCCAAAGCUGCCUGCCUGGUGGAAGAGGACGGCCUUCCCGGGCAGAGGACUGUUCUUCAGUCCAGGCUAUGCCAGAACCUCCAAACGCGCUCUCGAGUCCUGGCUCCAUUGUACUGAUCACGUGACUUUGGGCAGGCCACUUACUUUACCUGGGCCUUGGUUUUCUCAUCUGUGAAAUGGGAGAUAAAAUACAGUACGUACCGCAGAGGAUUGUGAUGACG